AGUCCAUGACUCGGGCAUUUAAGUAGGAAUUUCUUAAACCUCAACCUGGUUUCAUGGAUGGGUUCACCCUCCAAUCAGUUAAAACAUUGAAUGUCAUAUCUGAGUUU